rnacentral:sRNA from 1 species
GACUCUAUCAGACAAGUUUGUAAGGCAUUUCAUGACUGCUGUGGCAGGAGCCAGCUCACCGUGGAGGAGGGGUGCCUCCAUCGCUGGGCAGACGGUACUGAGUGGUGUAAGAAAGCAGACUGAGAAAGCCACGACAAGCAAGAUGAAAAGCAGUGUUUCUCUGUGUGUGGCCUCUGCUUCGGUUCCUGCUUCCAGGUUCCUGCUUGCAGUUCCUGUCCCGAUUUCCCUCAGUGAUGAAUUGUGACCUGAGAGCUGAAAUAAACUUUCGUCCUCAAGUUUGGUUUUGGUCAUUGUGUUUUAUCACAGCAAGGGCAACCCUAACUAAAACAUCUGGCAAGUUGUUACCGACUAGAGCAUUUCAUGUUCUCUUGAGUGUAGUGUACAGUUGUCCGAUCUUCCUGCCUUUAGUUCUGGGAAGUGACCAUGCUACCAGCCCUCACCAGGCUUCCCUUGAAUCCUUGUACAAAAGGCACACACACAAUUUGCUCCUUUUCCACUUGCCUUCUUGCACAUUGCUGGGCAUUACUAUCUCUUGCUUGGAAAAGCAAUAUUUUUUUAUCUCUGCUCCUCCCAUCUGCCCUGAACUUCAGUGGCUAGUCUCACCUCGGCCCUGUCAAACAUCCCUGAUCACCCACCUGUAGUAGUGGCCACAGCCCCAUCUUCUCCUGAGACCUCACAUGGCUGCUGUGUUCUUCUCCUUCCAAAGCAGGGCAGAAACACUUCUCCUCUCCUUCCUUGCUCUCUAUUCCAGAGACCGGGAAGUCCUGCCUGUCCCUUCUGCCCAGCAGUUAGACCCAGCUUUCUUGAUCAAGAAGCAAUUAGGGAACAGGACCUUAGCAUCAGGACCACCCCCUACACCUGAGUUUGUUCUAAAAUUCACUUACUAGCGAUAUUGUGGAGGUUCGGGUAAGAAUGCGUGGUUACCAGGGGGUGACACUGUUUGAAAGGAUUUAGUAUGGCCUUGGAGGAUGUGUUAGUGGGGGUCAGCUUGCAGUUUCUGGAGCCUAAGCCAACCCCAGUGGCUUCCUGCUGCCUUCUGAUCCUGAUGCUGGACUCUCAGUCUGUCCGUGGGCUGCCAUGCUCCCUGCGGUGAGGAUAAUGGACUAAACCCCAGAAACUGUAAGAAGCCCCCAUUAAAAGCUUUCUCUUAUAAGAGUUGCCAUGGUCACAGGGUCUCUUCUCAGCUGUAGAGCAGUCACUAAGACAAACACAAAAAACCUAAACAAGGGAAACUUGGCUCUCGAGUAACAUUGGUAGGAUGUCGAGGCUGAGUUUUAGCCUCCAGUCCCAGGUGUCUAAAUGGCUUGAAGAACACUGAAGCACUUUCUCAUUCCUAGACAUGCGUGAGUCAGCAGCCUGGGUCGUACAUGACUAAGGCCAGGGAGCGGGACAGGAGUUUGCCCUCGGAUCCCUAGAUCCUAUGCAGGUACUCCAUGUCUCCACUAAACGGGAUCCUGUAGCCCCUUGGAAGCAGGCUCCCCUGUGUCCCUCAGCACAUGUUUUCUACCCUAGCAAACUCUGGCUGUGAGCUCUGUGCACCCUUCCAUUGGGCUGGUGAGUGUGAGGUUCCUACCCCAGGCUAAUUGCUAUCAGUGGUGAUGGGAAACCCUGAGGUCCUUAUGCCCUCUGUUCUUGGACUGAGCUCACAGACGUGGCCAGAAUGCUGAGUAAUUUAUAUGCUCAUUGGUUUGAUGAUGAAAGGGAUGGGUCUCCAACCAAAUCCUCUAAAGGAAACAUGGAGACUGCUUGCUCUGCUGUUUGUCACUGUCCUGGGGUCAUUCCCAUGUCACUUCAUAUUCCUGUAACCCUAGGCUGUGCAGACAAUGAAGUUUUGAUAGCUUUCAGACCAGAAGAGCCUCAGAAGCAGUGAUGCGUGCUGGAUUAAGCUCUCAGGUCAGGGGCCAUGCCUUUUGGGUCCUUAUAUUGAGGGGUGAGCCUCCUUGGGUGACAGGUUCUCACAGUCCAGGUGUGAAAAUUGAGCCCAGCAAUGAAAGGAAAGAGAAUGGGCCUCGUUCUCUGCCUCUCUGGCCAGUCUCCAGGGUGCACUGCCAACUUCCUGAGGACCCAGCAGAGGGAGGGGCUGUAGGCUGAGAGCCACUGGAGCAGGCCUGCCAAUCACUGCCUUUGGUAUCUGAAUAUUCAAACCUGCUCCAAGAGACCUUCGAGUUUGGACUGGACCUCACCACUGUCCGGAUGAGUUGGGCUUCAGGCCUUGAGGGUUAGCCCAUCUGGGAGUGGGACAGGGCGGGCUCAAGAACUUUGUGCAGGAAGACACUGCCUCUUAUGCACUGGUAUCUGAAAGUGAAAUCGUCUGAAAGUAUGAACCCUGUCUGCUCAGUUUCCAAGCCAUCUCUAGCUGGCUCACGCCAUCCGGCUGCUCCUGGAAUACACAGAAACAAGCUAAGCAGAGAAGAGAUACGCCAUGGGCGACUGUAAUGCCAUUCAUUCUUCUGUGUCACACUCCUCCCUAACUUCUGUCCACUGGUGCCCAGCAUCUUCUACCUAGUUCUCUGUCUCUUAGCUCUGUGGGUCUCCUCCAGAUGAACCCAGAGCUAAACCCUUCCUGAAAGUUCCUUGAAGGUGCAGCUUUGAUUCUCAAUAAACAGCUCUGGCAUUGAA